rnacentral:misc_RNA from 1 species
GACUUCGCUAAGGGUCGGCUCAGGACCUUUGCUUGUCCAAUACAGUGCAUUCUCAACUUGAGUACACGUGCUUUCUUUCCUCUUUCCUUUACCUCUUUUUAUCUUUACUUCCAUGCAUGGAAUUCUUCUCCUAAAUAUAGUGAACUUGUAGUUGUGGGGGGAGAGAGAGAAAGAAACAAAGAAAUAGUCACUUGCUUUCUGUCUCUCUCUCUUGGUAUUUCUUCUUUGGCUUUGUUCAUUGCCAUCAUUUGCAACAAAGGCAACAGACCCACAAGCUCUCCCAAUUUGAUCUUUUUUUUUUCUCUUGAAAAUUUCAACUGCACAAGAAGUUAAAUAAGCUAGUAGAUAUUCACUUCUAGGCCUCUGUUUUUGUUCAUCUCCCUCUUUUCUCUACAUCUAGGUCUUUUUCUUGCUCCAAAGUUCUCUGAAAUCUGAGAUAGAUUCUUGUCGAAUCACCUCAGGAAUAUGAGCUGACUUAAUUUACUCUCAAGAUUUGAACUUUCAUCUUGUUUUUCUGAUUUGGGUCUCCAACUAAUUGUCUUCUUACUGGGGGAUCCUCUCUUUCAUUACCAUUUUGGCCUCCAGUUUUAGUGCAAUUGAAGCAUUGUUUCAAGUUCUUUGAUCAGAUUUGAAGUUUCCAUUUACUUGUACGAUUUGUUUCUCUUCUUUCUUCAAUUUCGGUGAUUCAAAUUCAUGGAAGAAGACCAACAAUUCAAACAUGUGUGCAAGUUCUGCUGCAAGAGCUUCUCUUGUGGUAGAUCCUUGGGUGGUCACAUGAGGUCUCACAUGAUUAAUGAUAUUACAGCUCAAGCUGAUGGUACUAAGCUCACCAAGAAAAAGCUCCCAUCUCUCCCCAGCAAUAAUGGAGCUAAUAACAAUACAACUAGCAGCGAAACUACCGGUUAUGGUCUCAGAGAAAAUCCAAAGAAGACUUGGAGACUUGCAGAUCAUUCAAGUGAAGAUACUUCACUCCUUGACAAAUCCUGCAAAGAGUGUGGCAAAGUACUCCAAUCUUGGAAAGCUUUGUUUGGUCACAUGAAAUAUCACUCGCUAGAGAAAGAAAAAGUGCCCAACAAUAACAGCCUGGAGGAGCAGCAAGAUUCUUGGACCAGUGCUAAUAACCAAAAGCUGGUCAUGGACAGCCAAUCUGACAAUGAAACUGCUGCUCCUAGUCGAAGAAAGAGAUCAAAAAGGAGAAUAAGGUACAUGGGUGCUGCAAAUUCUUCUUCUCUGUCUUUUGCUAAUAAUGCUUCCUCCUCUGUUUCUGAAAUUGAUCAAGAACAAGAAGAGGUUGCUAUGUGCUUGAUGAUGCUUUCUAGGGAUGUUGGUCUGUGGGAUGGCUUGAAUUCUGUUGCUGAGUCCUCCGAUAACAAUUCUGUGUUUCUUGAAACUAAUUUGGGUAGUUCAAAAACUGAAAAUAAGCCUUCUAUUUGUGUUGGUACUGAGACUGUGAAAGUGAAAAAACUUGGUGAGAAGUUGGAGAUUGACGAAUUUGAGGAUUAUGAUGAUUUCAAAGUUGAAAACAGAAAAUCAGAAUUCUCUGCUUCAAGGAUUUCAAGAAAAAGGUUUACCAAGAAUGAUAAAGCCAAGAAGUCUGAGCUAGAUGAUGAAUGUGAAGCUGAAAAUUCUGGAGUUAAAUUGGGCAAGAAUUUGACCAAGGAAACUGGUUUGGAUCAAGCUAAAAUGGUUCCUAGCAAGUGCAGUUCUAGCAAGAGAAAGUUCAGCGACUCUUUUGAUCCUGAAUUGAUGUCAGAUUACUUGAAAAAGCUGACAACCGAUGCCUCAGAUUCUGAAGUUUGCAAGACCUCUGAUAGAAGCAGCAGAUUUGAGUGUACUACCUGUAGCAAGGUGUUCCACUCUUACCAAGCUUUAGGAGGCCAUAGAGCUAGCCACAAAAAGACUAAAGGUUGCUUUGCUUCAAGAAUUGACAGCAGUGAAAACAGCAUUGAAACUGAACUACCUCCUGUCCCAACAGGAGAUAGUAAGCUCAUCAAAUCCAUCAAAAAUGAGAUUUCUGCUGAUCACUUGGCCCUAGAUUGUGACAACAAAGCUGAGACAAGUUAUAGAGCAAAGAACAGUAAAGGACAUGAGUGCCCUGUUUGUCUCAAGGUGUUCCCAUCAGGCCAAGCAUUGGGUGGUCACAAGAGGUCUCACUUAGUGGGAGGUACUAAGGCUAAAAACAACCAAACCAUUGCAACUCAAGAACCAAUUCCAUCCGUUAGAGACUUCCCUGAUCUUAAUCUUCCUGCUCCUGUUGAAGAAGAGAACAAUGGGCUUGUGGGGUUUAAUCCAUGGUGGAUUGGAAGCAACCACAAGCAUGAACCCCUUGUAGGUUUGAUCUCUAAUUGAGUUCUCUAAUCUAGGCUAUGCAUGGUUAAUUUUCAAUAAAAAGGGAUUCAAGAGUGUACAGAUUCAUUUAUUCUUUUAAAGAUUCAGAAAGAAAUUAGCCAAGGUGUUGCUCUUAGUAGCCUUUUACUUGCGCCUACUUCACAUUCCAAUCCCACAAAAUCAAAUGUUAAACCCUCUUUUUCUUCACUUCAUUUCCUAUAUGUUUUCCCUUCUUUUCAUAGUUGUAAACAAGUUCAGGCACAUUAAAUCUCAUGUGCCUAGAAACUACAAUACUGUAAUUGAAUGUCAAUUUUACUUAAAUCACAUUUGAAGUGUACUUGCCGAAUCAAAAGCCGUUUGUUUCUG